rnacentral:lncRNA from 1 species
CAGCUCCGUUCCUCCGUGCGCGAGUAACCGGGCAGGAGGAGGCGAGCGCGAUCAGACCUCCAGGUGUGUGUAGAUGUACGUGUGUGUUCCAGCCACACCUGGAUGCAUCAUGUGAUCAGAUACCUGGGCGUGGAGCUAGCGUUCAGUGUGUUAGUCGGUAACGGGAAUCUCGGAACCGCAGAUCUCUUGUCGCUCCGCGCGUGAGUGACAUGUGAACUUUCCGUGCACCGGGAAUCUAUUCCUCUCAGUCUAAAGGGACUCCGUGGUCUGGACGCUGCAACCGCCGCCAAGCCCCGACACGAAGUCCAGGCCCUCCAGUAUCCCAUCACCCCCUGCGACUAUCCAAGCUGUUACGGCAGGCUGGGCCGCGAGUGCCUGUGCCAGGGCGCGGCAGGACCGGAUCCGACCGGUGGGCGACUGGCUCCUCCUCCUCCUCCAAGCUGCCGUGUGUGCUAAGCGCCUUGCCGUUAGCCGGAAGGAUGCUUCAGUGAGGACAGAUAUCUUGAGACUAAACGAUAGGAAGACAAGACAAGAGAACAGGGCCAGAAGACAACACAUGCUGGAUGCAAAUUCACCUCCACCUGAGCUCUGUAUUAAUGCGCCAAGUUGCAUCAACCCUUUACAACACCGCAAACAACCUGCAGGUAAACUAUGAGCUAGCCUAUACUUUCAGUUUUUUCCAAGAAUUAUCAUUGCCCAUCGUGAUUUAGGCUAUUGUUCCUAAUUUCAUUUUUUAGUGAACAUUUUUGUCUUUCUAUCUUUAUAAAUGUAGUA